rnacentral:tRNA from 1 species
UGGGGUAUAGCUUAAUGGUAAAGCUUUAGUUUUUGGUACUAAAUAAUACAAGUUCGAAUCUUGUUACUCCAG